AAUAUAAAAUGGAUCACAACUAUGCUCUUCAAAUUCCCCAAGAGAAUAUUUUAUUACAAUUAGCAAGACUAUUGUUGAUUGAAAACUAGUACUAUGUGUCUAUGUAGAAAUGGACCAAGCUCGGAGAAAUCAUUCAAUACGAAAUAUUGUAACUCGAGUUAAUCGAUCUGAUGCUACAUAUCGAAUUAAGAACUAUAUUCAAAUAUUAAAUGAGGACAAUGAUAUUUUAAUGUUCUUAAGAAGAGCAGGCCAUACCAUGGAUGGAUACAAUCAAGGGCAAGUUGGACCUCGUCCAUUGAACCGUGAUUGAUUCAUCAAUUUGGAGACAUUUCAAGUUCUAAUUUUAACUAAUGGUUCUAUAUGUAACUGUUUAGUGUUUAUUAAUUAAGUUUUGGUACAAUUGUGAUUUUUAUUAUAUUGACUAUAUUAUGUUAUUUUACAUGUUCCCCGUUACAGAUCCACCUCCCGCCGGCCUGAUAAUUGAUAAGCUUUCAAUAGCCAAUAGAAGUGAUAAGCAUAAGAUUAUAACCCAUAGACCUUAGUAUAAGGUCUAUGUUAUA